rnacentral:rRNA from 1 species
GACGAACGCUGGCGGCGUGCUUAACACAUGCAAGUCGAACGAACAGCGAUGGAAGUUUGCUUCUAUCAAUCUUAGUGGCGAACGGGUGUGUCACGCGUAAUCAACCUGCCCUUCAGUGGGGGACAACAGUUGGAAACGACUGCUAAUACCGCAUACGAUUUAAUCUCGGCAUUGAGGAUAGAUGAAAGGUUGCCUCUACAUGUAAGCUAUCACUGAAGGAGGGGAUUGCGUCUGAUUAGCUAGUUGGAGGGGUAACGGCCCACCAAGGCGAUGAUCAGUAGCCGGUCUGAGAGGAUGAACGGCCACAUUGGGACUGAGACACGGCCCAGACUCCUACGGGAGGCAGCAGUGGGGGAUCUUCCGCAAUGGACGAAAGUCUGACGGAGCAACGCCGCGUGAGUGAUGACGGCCUUCGGGUUGUAAAGCUCUGUUAAUCGGGACGAAAGGCCUUCUUGCGAAUAGUGAGAAGGAUUGACGGUACCGGAAUAGAAAGCCACGGCUAACUACGUG